GAUGAAGAACGUAGCGAAAUGCGAUAAGUAAUGUGAAUUGCAGAAUUCAGUGAAUCAUCGAAUCUUUGAACGCACAUUGCGCCCGCCAGUAUUCUGGCGGGCAUGCCUGUUCGAGCGUCAUUUCAACCCUCAGGCCCCCAGUGCCUGGUGUUGGGGAUCGGCCCAGCCUUCCUGUAAGGCCGCCGGCCCCGAAAUCUAGUGGCGGUCUCGCUGUAGUCCUCCUCUGCGUAGUAGCACAACCUCGCAGUUGGAACGCGGCGGUGGCCAUGCCGUUAAACACCCCACUUCUGAAAGUUGACCUCGGAUCAGGUAGGAAUACCCGCUGAACUUAAGCAUAUCAAUAAGCGGGGGA
rnacentral:misc_RNA from 1 species